GCAUUAUUAGUUCAGGGGUAGAAUGUUUCACUCGUAAUGAAAAGGUCACAGGUUCGAAUCCUGUAUGAUGCA